ACGAACGCUGGCGGUCGUGGAUAAGACAUGCAAGUCGAACGGGACUUAUUUGUAGCAAUACAGGAUAAGUGCAGUGGCGCGCAAGGGUGCGUAACACGUGGGCAAUCUGCCGGAAAUGGGUGAUAGCCUCGCCGAAAGGGCGAAUUAAUACCGCAUAUGGCCAGGAGGGACAUCCCUCCGACGCCAAAGUCGGGGGCAACCUGACGUUUCCUGAUGAGCCCCGCCGGCCUAUCAGCUAGUUUGGUGAGGUAACGGCCCACCAAGGCUAUGACGGGUAGCUGGUCUGAAGAGGACGACCAGCCACACUGGAACUGAGACAGCACGGUCCAGACACCUACGGGUGUCGGCAGCAGUCGAGAAUUUUCUCAAUGGGGGAACCCUGAAGGCAGCGACGCCGCGUGAAGGAUGAAGGUCUUCGGAUUGUAAACUUCUGUCAUUAUGAGAACAAUUGCACGGGCAGUAACUGGCCUGUGUUUGAUAGUAUCUGAAGAGGAAAGGGACGGCUAACUCUGUGCCAGCAGCCGCGGUAAUACAGAAGGUCCAAGCGGUUUGUUCGGAUUCAUUGGGCGUAAAGGGUGCGUAGGCAGGUGCCGUAAGUCGGAUGUGAAAUCCCGGAGCUUAAGCUCCGGAACUGCAUUCGAUACUGGGCGGUGCUUGAGGACUGGAGAGGAGAUUGGAAUUCACGGGUGUGUAGCAGUGAAAUGCGUAGAUAUCGUGAGGAAGACCAGUGGCGAAGGCGGAUCUCUGGACCAGUUCCUGACGCUGAGGCACGAAGGGCACAGGCGGAGCAAACGGGAUUAGAUACCCGGUAGUCCUGGCCUAGUAAACGCGUGCACGGUUUGGUAAUGGGAGAUUCGACCGCCUUCCGUGCCGGAGCUAACGCGUUAAACGUGCCACCUGGGGAGUACGUCGUCGCAAGAUUAAAACUCAAAGAACAUUGACGGGGGCCCGCACAAGCGGUGGAGUAUGUGGCUUAAUUCGAUGCAACCGCGAAGAACCUUACCUAGCCUUGACAUGCAUACUCUAAGUCGGUGAAAGCCGGCGAGUGUAGCCAAUACACAAUUUGCACAGGUGCUGCAUGGCUGUCGUCAGCUCGUGUCGUGAGAUGUUGGGUUAAGUCCCGCGCAACGAGCGGCAACCCCUGUGAACUGUUGCCACCGGACCCGCGAGGGUUCGAGCACUCUGUUCAGGACUGGCCCUGUGAAACGGGGAGGAAGGGUGGGGGACGACGUCAAGUCAGGAUGGCCCUUACGGCCUAGGCUGCACACGUACUUACAAUGCCUCAGUACAGAACGAUCCGAUACCGCGAGGUGGAGGAAAUUCACAGUAAACUGGGCCCAAGUUCGGAUUGGAGGCUGCAACUCGCCUCCAUGAAGCCGGAAUCGCUAGUAAUUGGCGUAUCAGCUACGACGACCGUGAAUACGUUCCCGGAGCCUUGUACACCACCGCCCGGUCACAUGCAUGGAAGUCAUUUGUAGCCCGAAGUCCGGUGCGCUAACCCGCGAAGGGGAUGGCAGCCGUCCUACGCUAUGAGCUGGUAACUGGGAUG
rnacentral:rRNA from 1 species